rnacentral:rRNA from 1 species
UACAGAGGGUGCAAGCGUUGCUCGGAAUCAUUGGGCGUAAAGGGCAAGUAGGUGGUCUCGUUUGUCUGAGGUGAAAUCCCUGGGCUUAACCUAGGAACUGCCUCAGAAACGGCGAGACUGGAGUACUGGAGAGGGUCGCGGAAUUCCCGGUGUAGCGGUGAAAUGCGUAGAGAUCGGAAAGAACACCAGUGGCGAAGGCGACUCCCUGGCACCAUACUGACGCUGAGGCACGAAAGCGUGGGGAUCAAACAGGAUUAGAAACCCGUGUAGU